AUUGAACGCUGGCGGCAGGCCUAACACAUGCAAGUCGAGCGGGGUUUUCGGACCUAGCGGCGGACGGGUGAGUAAUGCGUAGGAAGCUGCCCGAUAGAGGGGGAUACCAGUUGGAAACGACUGUUAAUACCGCAUAAUGUCUACGGACCAAAGUGUGGGACCUUCGGGCCACAUGCUAUCGGAUGCGCCUACGUGGGAUUAGCUAGUUGGUGGGGUAAUGGCUCACCAAGGCGACGAUCCCUAGCUGGUUUGAGAGGAUGAUCAGCCACACUGGAACUGAGACACGGGCCAGACUCCUACGGGAGGCAGCAGUGGGGAAUAUUGGACAAUGGGCGCAAGCCUGAUCCAGCCAUGCCGCGUGUGUGAAGAAGGCCUUCGGGUUGUAAAGCACUUUCAGUAGGGAGGAAGGGUGUUGUGUUAAUAGCACAGCAUUUUGACGUUACCUACAGAAGAAGCACCGGCUAACUCUGUGCCAGCCGCCGCCGUAAGAC
rnacentral:rRNA from 1 species